CAACCAUUUUCCACAAUGGGCGAAAGCCUGAAGAAGCAAGACCGGUGAGGGAGGAAGUCSUAUGGGUGGUAAACCUMUUGAUUAAUAGAAGAACACAAKGACGGUACCCACAGAAGAAGCACCGGCUAACUCCGUGCCAGCAGCCGCGGUAAUACGGAGGRUGCRAGCGUAUUCGGAWUUAYUGGGCGUAAAGSGUSCGUAGGUKGCMWUMCAAGUCAGYUGUUAAAAGCYAGAGCUUAACUYKAUAAUGUCAGAUAAAACUGUAAGACUAGAGUAUAGUAGAGGCAAGUGGAAUUCCCAGGUAGCGGUGAAAUGCGAGAGAUCGGAAAGAACAUCAGUGGCGAAGGCGCCUACCUGGAUUAACACUGACACUGAGGCACGAAAGCUAGGGGAGCAAACAGGAUUAGAUACCCYGGUAGUCCWCGCYGUAAACGAUGUCAACUAGSUGUUACCAUAUMGAAC
rnacentral:rRNA from 1 species